rnacentral:misc_RNA from 1 species
GAUGAAGAACGUAGCGAAAUGCGAUAAGUAAUGCGAAUUGCAGAAUCCGUGAGUCAUCGAAUCUUUGAACGCACAUUGCGCCCUUUGGUAUUCCGAAGGGCAUGCCUGUUCGAGCGUCAUUAUCACCCCUCAAGCCCCGGCUUGGUGUUGGGCUCUCGGUGGUCGUCUCCGACCACCCGUCUCAAAGAUAGUGACGGCGUCCCAGAGGGAACCGGUACGAGGAGCUUUCACGAGCAUGUACGCGGGACGACUCUGCGAGCGACGGUCUUAUUUACUUUAUAUACAAGUGUUGACCUCGGAUCAGGUAGGAAUACCCGCUGAACUUAAGCAUAUCAAUAAGCGGAGGA